rnacentral:rRNA from 1 species
UACAGAGGUCUCAAGCGUUGUUCGGAUUCAUUGGGCGUAAAGGGUGCGUAGGUGGCGCGGUAAGUCGGGUGUGAAAUUUCGAGGCUUAACUUCGAAACUGCAUUCGAUACUGCCGUGCUAGAGGACUGGAGAGGAGACUGGAAUUUACGGUGUAGCGGUGAAAUGCGUAGAUAUCGUAAGGAAGACCAGUGGCGAAGGCGGGUCUCUGGACAGUUCCUGACGCUGAGGCACGAAGGCCAGGGGAGCAAACGGG